GACAGACGCGUGCGUCGCGGAGGAAAGCGAUUCAUCUGCUCUUUCUCUCAUAAACGCUUUAAAAGUACGAUCGAUCACCGUGAAGGCAAGACAUUAUCAGUAUUUGUAUCAAUGCUUUGGGAGUAAAUAGUCAUGGCAGAGAGACACUUUGUGUUUGCUGAUGAGAAUGAGCUGUUUAGUCUGAUGAAGGACAUCGACUGCCUGUACUGCAGGAAUCCAGUCCCUGCAUCUAAACAUCACCUCGAAAAGAGACACCUCAAAUUCGCCAUGUAUUACAAAGAUGCUGACAUUGGGAAGUUCUCUAUUCCCUGUUACUGUGCUGAUGGAGGGCAUGGCAGGAGCCACUGGCAUUGCCCAAUAUGCCCUAAAAUAUUGCAAAGGACACAGGAUUACAGAAACCACAUCACCAAUCACGGUGUUAAGAUGACCAAGAACAAACCAGCUAAAGCACAGGAAAGACAUGGCCAAUGUCGAAAAAAGGAAAGCAAAGAGAAGGCGGCAAGAGAUUUACCAUCAUUUGCAGAGGAGUUGUGUAUGCCACUGGAUAUUGACACGCAGAAAGAGAGACACUUUGUGUUUGCUGAUGAGAAUGAGCUGUUUAGUCUGAUGAAGGACAUCGACUGCCUGUACUGCAGGAAUCCAGUCCCUGCAUCUAAACAUCACCUCGAAAAGAGACACCUCAAAUUCGCUAUGUAUUACAAAGAUGCUGACAUUGGGAAGUUCUCUAUUCCCUGUUACUGUGCUGAUGGAGGGCAUGGCAGGAGCCACUGGCAUUGCCCAAUAUGCCCUAAAAUAUUGCAAAGGACACAGGAUUACAGAAACCACAUCACCAAUCAUGGUGUUGAGGUGACAGACAACACACCAGACAAAAUACACAAGUAUCACAAAAAGCUGCAAUCAGGCAUUGAUGCUCAAGAGGCCAACUUGAUAUUGAAAGCCAAGGAUGUGCACACUUUUGAACAGGACAACUUUGGGGAGCUGCAACCUACGACAUUCCUGUUUGAGACUCUACAAACAGACAAUACUCCAGACAAGAAGUUGACAUGUCAAACAUGUGGAAUCCUCUUUACCAGUUUAUCAAAUUUGAGACGGCAUGAGAGGCUACAGCACGGCCAAUUCCAACAACCCAUGUUCUGCAUAGAUGCCAAAAAUGGCAUCUACAUUACAACCAAGGACCUGCAUGGACCGAGAGUCCCCAUUCAUGUCCUUAAAUCUUUCGCCCUGCAGAUUAUGCUCUGUGAAUCAAAAGAAUGCAGAGAGUUCAUGAUAGCACAGGGCCAAUGUGGAAAUCCAGGUAAAGAAUGUUGUCACCUUGAGAGAACCAGUCAUGCACAGCAAUACGUUCCCCCUCCAGCGCUCUGCCUUAGCUCUCUGGAAGAAAUGACGAACAAAGGCCUCCUGUCCAAAUCGGAGAAACAACAGUGCCAAGAGAUGAACUCAAGGGCGUGCUUAGAGGGUGUCGAUUGUGUGUACCCUAUUUUUUGGGGGAAGUUUGAGCUCUUGGACAAAUACGUCAACUUUUCUGUGUAUACCAACCUCAAAGACACAUGGUGCCAGUUUGGGAGGACACAUGUCUCGUUUGACACCAGAUCCGGAAACUGGAAAUGCCUGUGUGAACACAAAAGAAACGGUUGCAUCCACAAGUAUUUGUCAAUGUGGUGGGUGUUCCAAGAGCGACCUGAAUUGUUUCCCAACAACCUCGAUACAAACCCUGAGAGAGAGGACAAAAUUGAGGAAGUAGUUGUGGUGGUAGAGAAUGACAUUUAAAUAACAGAUGACAACUAGGGAUGUGCAAAGCUACCAUAGUUGACUCGUCGCUGAACGAUCGACACCAAGAUAUUAAUGAGCACAACCCACUGAACAGACUGUACACCAGUACUUCAGAGCCUUCCAAUCACAAAAAAUUAAAAUAAAAUAAAAAAUUACAUAUUGUGUUUAUCCUGACUGAGGUCUAUACCCUUUAUAUUGUCUGGUAACUCAAGUUAACUGAGUUACUUUGCAAAAUAUCACAUGCUUCUUAUGUUUAAAAGAAAUGUUUUGUACUGCUGUUUGACAGUGUAAUUCAUAUUUAGUGAGUAUGAGAAGUUAUGUUUAUGUUCUUGUUUGUGAGCAGUCUGAUCAUUUGCAGUGUUUCUGAGGGCCAGUUAGACUCUUUGCUUUCUGUAGUUUUGCACUGUUGUUCUUGAGCUAAUAAGUAUGUUGAGACAAUGUUAAAGAAUUUAUAUUUUCAAUACAUUUGAUUCUGGAAAGUAAAUACAAGUUCUGAUCCUUUAUAACUGUCAUCAUAUUCCUCCUGAAUUGUCCUUUUUAACUUUUUAAAAAAGGUUACAACAUCUGGUUAAAAUGUUUUAUAUUUUACACAUCAUGUCUUGUUAAGUGUGAUUAAACAUGUUAAAGCAAAAUAUGUGACCUCGUGUUGCU